rnacentral:rRNA from 1 species
AGUCGAACGGUAACAGGGAGCUUGCUCCGCUGACGAGUGGCGAACGGGUGAGUAAUGUAUCGGAACGUACCAUUGAGUGGGGGAUAACGUAGCGAAAGUUACGCUAAUACCGCAUAUUCUCUCCGGAGGAAAGCAGGGGACCGCAAGGCCUUGCGCUCUUUGAGCGGCCGAUAUCAGAUUAGCUAGUUGGUGGGGUAAAAGCUCACCAAGGCGACGAUCUGUAGCGGGUCUGAGAGGAUGAUCCGCCACACUGGAACUGAGACACGGUCCAGACUCCUACGGGAGGCAGCAGUGGGGAAUUUUGGACAAUGGGGGCAACCCUGAUCCAGCCAUGCCGCGUGAGUGAAGAAGGCCUUCGGGUUGUAAAGCUCUUUCGGCCGGGAAGAAAUCGUAUCAGCUAAUACCUGGUGCGGAUGACGGUACCGGCAUAAGAAGCACCGGCUAACUACGUGCCAGCAGCCGCGGUAAUACGUAGGGUGCGAGCGUUAAUCGGAAUUACUGGGCGUAAAGCGUGCGCAGGCGGUUUUGUAAGACAGGCGUGAAAUCCCCGGGCUCAACCUGGGAACUGCGUUUGUGACUGCAAGGCUAGAGUACGGCAGAGGGGGGUGGAAUUCCACGUGUAGCAGUGAAAUGCGUAGAGAUGUGGAGGAACACCAAUGGCGAAGGCAGCCCCCUGGGUCGAUACUGACGCUCAUGCACGAAAGCGUGGGUAGCAAACAGGAUUAGAUACCCUGGUAGUCCACGCCCUAAACGAUGUCAACUAGGUGUUGGGAGGGUAAAACCUUUUAGUACCGGAGCUAACGCGUGAAG